UACGUAGGUGGCAAGCGUUGUCCGGAAUUAUUGGGCGUAAAGCGCGCGCAGGCGGCUUCUUAAGUCUGAUGUGAAAGCCCACGGCUCAACCGUGGAGGGUCAUUGGAAACUGGGGAGCUUGAGUGCAGAAGAGGAGAGCGGAAUUCCCGGUGUAGCGGUGAAAUGCGUAGAUAUCGGGAAGAACACCAGUGGCGAAGGCGGCGGCCUGGACAGAACCUGACGCUGAGGCACGAAAGCUGGGGGAGCGAACAGG
rnacentral:rRNA from 1 species